rnacentral:lncRNA from 1 species
UUGCACCUUCUUUUCUUUUUUUUUUCAAAAGAUUGUUGCCCCACUGAAGACACAUCUUCAGAAGUGCAAAAGAACUUCUUCAACAUUUGAAAGAUUUUCUCCCACUGAGCAUCAUCGAAUUUACAACUAAAUUUAUAUUCUUUGCUGCUCUCAAAAAUAUCACAUGAUGAUACGAUCAUUUGGCCACUUCUGAUAAGUACCUUUGAUCGC